GACGAACGCUGGCGGCGUGCCUAAUGCAUGCAAGUUGAGCGCUGAAGGUUGGUCCUUGUACCAACUGGAUGAGCAGCGAACGGGUGAGUAACGCGUGGGGAAUCUGCCUUUGAGCGGGGGACAACAUUUGGAAACGAAUGCUAAUACCGCAUAAAAACUUUAAACACAAGUUUUAAGUUUGAAAGAUGCAAUUGCGUCACUCAAAGAUGAUCCCGCGUUGUAUUAGCUAGUUGGUGAGGUAAAGGCUCACCAAGGCGAUGAUACAUAGCCGACCUGAGAGGGUGAUCGGCCACAUUGGGACUGAGACACGGCCCAAACUCCUACGGGAGGCAGCAGUAGGGAAUCUUCGGCAAUGGACGAAAGUCUGACCGAGCAACGCCGCGUGAGUGAAGAAGGUUUUCGGAUCGUAAAACUCUGUUGGUAGAGAAGAACGUUGGUGAGAGUGGAAAGCUCAUCAAGUGACGGUAACUACCCAGAAAGGGACGGCUAACUACGUG
rnacentral:rRNA from 1 species